rnacentral:rRNA from 1 species
UACGUAGGCAGCGAGCGUUGUUCGGAGUUACUGGGCGUAAAGAGUGCGUAGGCGGUUUUCUAAGUUUGGUGUGAAAUCUCCCGGCUCAACUGGGAGGGUGCGCCGAAGACUGGAAGGCUUGAGUAUGGGAGAGGUAAGCGGAAUUCCUGGUGUAGCGGUGAAAUGACGUAGAUAUCAGGAGGAACACCUGCGGUGUAAGACGGCUUACUGGACCAUAACUGACGCUGAGGCACGAAAAGCGUGGGUAGCAAACAGG